ACGUAGGGGGCAAGCGUUAUCCGGAAUUAUUGGGCGUAAAGAGUGCGUAGGUGGUUUUUUAAGCGUGAGGUGAAAGGCAAUAGCUUAACUAUUGUAAGCCUUGCGAACUGGAAGACUUGAGUGCAGGAGAGGAAAGUGGAAUUCCUAGUGGAGGUGUGGUAGGCGUAGAGAGGAGAAGGAGCACCGGAGGCGAGGGGGACUUACUGGAUUGUAAAUCCUAGUGAGCCAACUGACUGUCGACCACAUACAG
rnacentral:rRNA from 1 species